CUGGCAGCUUGAGUCAGCUCCCUCCUCUGAUGUCCAGUUACUCUAAGGAGAGUGUUUUUGAGGGCCUACUCUGUGCAGGUACUAUGCUGGGUACUGGAGUACAAGCACGCGGAGGACUCAGUCCCUGCCCUUGAGAAACCACAGGAUGGUGGAGGAGACAGAUAAUCAGUGCCUUCUGCACAGAGUGAUAAAUUCAUAGAAGUGGAACGGCUGGAUUAGCCGGUAGGUAUAGGUUUAACUUUUUAAGAAACUGCCAUAGUGGUUGUACCAUUUUACAUUCCCACCAGCAGGUUUCAGUGCGUUUUAAGAAUAAGAUCUGGGGAUCUUAUUCUUGGAAUAAGCAAUGGAAAAAGGGCCUUGGAAGACGUAAUUAGGUUAAGGAUCUUGAGGUGAGAUCAUCCUGGAUUUCGAGUUAUUGAACUUCAAACAUCCUGAAGUCCAAUAACAUGUUCUUAUGAGAGGAAGGUAGAGGGAGACAGGCAGAGACAGAGAAGACAGAGGCAGAGAUCAGAGUCACUCUGCCCAAGCCAAGGAAGGCCUGGAGCUCCCAGAAGCUGGAAGAGGCCAAGAAGGAUCCUCUCCUAGAGGCUUCAGAGGGAAUGUGGCCCCGCCACACCUUGAUUUUGGACUUCUGGCCUCUAGCACUGCGAGAAUACGUUUUGUUGUUUUAAGCCUCCCAGCUUUUGGUAAUUUGUUACGUCAGCUCUAGGAAACUAAUACACUCAUCAUAGACUUUAUGCUGGGCACCGAGGAUUUGAAGAUUAAAGGUGUGGAUCCCACUGUCGAGGAGUCUAAAAGCAGGCAAGCAGACUUACAGAGAACAACUGUGUUAAACUGAGAUAGCUUCUGCAACUGGGUGUAUCUAGUAAGGAGAGCGAUUGCAAAAGUCUAACCAAAAAAGGCAGUCCUGUCUUGACCUCUCCUUUCUCCCUCCCCUCUUGUCUUUCCCUGGUUUCUUUUCCACUGUUCCUUAUCUCAAUUAACAGCAUCUUCACUGUGCAAAUUGCACAAGCCAGAAAUCAAGGAGUCACUCUUAUAUCUCACCCUCCCAUGAUCAAUCUGCCACCAAAACCCCAUUAGCCUCAUUUAUUUCCUUAAUAUUUCUAAAAAUUUCCACUUCUCUCCACCUCCGUGGCCACCACCGUGCUCCAAGCUCCCAUCCCCUCUGGCUUGACAAAUUCCUCCUGGCGGGUCCUCCUGCCUCGCUCUGCUUCCCCUGCCCUCUCUUCUCCCCUCUGCAGUGGGAAUAAGCUUAUCACAAGGACAUUUGGUGGCACUGCCCUGCUGAUGAAACUCUGCUCUGGCUUUGCACAGCUCUUAGCAUAAAAGGGAACUCCUCCAGCUGGUCCAGGGGGCCCUGCUGGUCCAGCCCUGCCCCCUACCUCUCCACGCCGGGUUCUCUGUGCUCCGGCCACCUUGUCUGCCUACAGUCCAGCACACUCUGCCUCUUCCACCAAGGGGCUCUCAGGAACUGUUCUCUCUGCACAGAAGACCUGGAACACUCCUUCAUUCGGCUGACUGCUGCUGCCUCAGCAUCAUCCCUGUGGAAGCCUGCUUCACGUACCGAUGAGGUCGCCCUCCUGUCUGCAUCUCUGAGAGUCAUGGUUACGAUUCUGCACUGGGGGCUUCUUCCCCCACUAGCCUGUAAGCUCCUUGGGCACGGGGAACGUGGCCUUUCUUAUUCACUGUUGCGUCUCUAACGCACAGCCUGGGGCCUGGUGCACACUAGCUGCUUACUCCCUAUUUGUUGACAAUGAACAAAUUGCACCGUUGUUUAUAAUAGUGAACAACUGGAGAAAAUUUACUGAGAACAAGUUAAAUCACCAUGUAUGGAUGUGAUGCAAUACCAUGGAAGUCUUCGAAACAAUGCGGUGGAGCUGUGUUUACCGACAUGGAAAGUUGGCUGGGAUAGACUUUGAGUAAAAAACAACAAAAAAAGCAAGUUGCAGAACAAUUGGUAGGGGAAACCAUUGGUUUUUGUUUUGUUUUGUUUUUUAAGUCAUUGUUUUAAAAUCAAAAGCAGUAUAUCCAGGAUAGGUUCAGUGGGGCGUGAGCGAAGGUGUGGAAGGACGAUGUCAAAUGGUUCACAAGGCUUAGUGCUGGCUGCUGGGCCGGGAGAGUGAGAGAGGCAACUUAAGUACGUUUUGUAAAGAAUUUAUAAAAUUUUGCAUUGUUUGAAAUUUUUAUUUUUACAAGUACGUAUCAUUUUUGUAAGUUAAGCAUGUUUUUAAACAGUGAAAGGAAGACAGGAAGCCUCCCAAGGAGGAGAGCCCAUUCACGAACACCCACAGCACGCUCCUUCUCUGCCCUCAAGCCCCGUUACGACCCCAUCCACCUGCCUUGGACUUGUGUCCUUGUCCUCUCCCCUGCGUCCCUGCCCUCU
rnacentral:lncRNA from 1 species